rnacentral:rRNA from 1 species
GGAAUAUUGGACAAUGGGCGCAAGCCUGAUCCAGCCAUGCCGCGUGAGUGAAGAAGGCCUUAGGGUUGUAAAGCUCUUUCACCCGUGAAGAUGAUGACGGUAGCGGGAGAAGAAGCCCCGGCUAACUCCGUGCCAGCAGCCGCGGUAAUACGGGGGGGGCAAGCGUUGUUCGGAAUUACUGGGCGUAAAGGGCUCGUAGGCGGCCAACUAAGUCGGACGUGAAAUCCCUCGGCUCAACCGGGGAACUGCGUCCGAUACUGGAUGGCUUGAGUUCGGGAGAGGGAUGCGGAAUUCCAGGUGUAGCGGUGAAAUGCGUAGAUAUCUGGAGGAACACCGGUGGCGAAGGCGGCAUCCUGGACCGGCACUGACGCUGAGGAGCGAAAGCCAGGGGAUCAAAC